rnacentral:rRNA from 1 species
UACGUAGGUGGCAAGCGUUGUCCGGAUUUACUGGGCGUAAAGGAUGCGUAGGUGGAUAUUUAAGUGGGAUGUGAAAUACCCGGGCUUAACCUGGGUGCUGCAUUCCAAACUGGAUGUCUAGAGUGCAGGAGAGAUAAGUGGAAUUCCUAGUGUAGCGGUGAAAUGCGUAGAGAUUAGGAAGAACACCAGUGGCGAAGGCGACUUACUGGACUGUAACUGACACUGAGGCAUGAAAGCGUGGGGAGCAAACAGG